UACGUAGGGUGCAAGCGUUGUCCGGAAUUAUUGGGCGUAAAGAGCUCGUAGGCGGUUUGUCGCGUCUGCUGUGAAAACGCGAGGCUCAACCUCGCGCCUGCAGUGGGUACGGGCAGACUAGAGUGCGGUAGGGGAGAUUGGAAUUCCUGGUGUAGCGGUGAAAUGCGCAGAUAUCAGGAGGAACACCGAUGGCGAAGGCAGGUCUCUGGGCCACUACUGACGCUGAGAAGCGAAAGCGUGGGGAGCGAACAGG
rnacentral:rRNA from 1 species